rnacentral:rRNA from 1 species
GAUGAACGCUGGCGGCGUGCCUAAUACAUGCAAGUUGAGCGAACGGACGAGAAGCUUGCUUCUCUGAUGUUAGCGGCGGACGGGUGAGUAACACGUGGAUAACCUACCUAUAAGACUGGGAUAACUUCGGGAAACCGGAGCUAAUACCGGAUGAUAUUUUGAACCGCAUGGUUCAAAAGUGAAAGACGGUCUUGCUGUCACUUAUAGAUGGAUCCGCGCUGCAUUAGCUAGUUGGUAAGGUAACGGCUUACCAAGGCAACGAUGCAUAGCCGACCUGAGAGGGUGAUCGGCCACACUGGAACUGAGACACGGUCCAGACUCCUACGGGAGGCAGCAGUAGGGAAUCUUCCGCAAUGGGCAAAAGCCUGACGGAGCAACGCCGCGUGAGUGAUGAAGGUCUUCGGAUCGUAAAACUCUGUUAUUAGGGAAGAACAUAUGUGUAAGUAACUGUGCACAUCUUGACGGUACCUAAUCAGAAAGCCACGGCUAACUACGUG